CGAGUCCCAGAAAAACAGAGCCGGGCCAACUGCAGCGUGUAGUGUGAGUGGGGCAGGACGCGAGCCGCCCGCCCGCCGGCGACCCGCAAGGAGUUGGCAUCCAUUGGAAGAGUUUGUGAAACCCCCUUUCUGCCCAGAGCUCCAGGACCAAUGCAUCUUCCCACCACCUUAAACCACUGGCACAGAUUGUUGACCAAAAUGUACACACAGGGAGA
rnacentral:lncRNA from 1 species